rnacentral:rRNA from 1 species
GAACUUAGCAGAGAUGCUUUGGUGCCUUCGGGAACUCUGAGACAGGUGCUGCAUGGCUGUCGUCAGCUCGUGUUGUGAAAUGUUGGGUUAAGUCCCGCAACGAGCGCAACCCUUUAUCCUUUGUUGCCAGCGGUCCGGCCGGGAACUCAAAGGAGACUGCCAGUGAUAAACUGGAGGAAGGUGGGGAUGACGUCAAGUCAUCAUGGCCCUUACGAGUAGGGCUACACACGUGCUACAAUGGCGCAUACAAAGAGAAGCGACCUCGCGAGAGCAAGCGGACCUCAUAAAGUGCGUCGUAGUCCGGAUUGGAGUCUGCAACUCGACUCCAUGAAGUCGGAAUCGCUAGUAAUCGUGGAUCAGAAUGCCCACGGUCGAAUACGUUCCGGGCCUUGUACACACCGCCCGUCACACCAUGGGAGUGGGUUGCAAAAGAAGUAGGUAGCUUAACCUUCGGGAGGGCGCUUACCACUUUGUGAUUCAUGACUGGGGUGAAGUCGUAACAAGGUAAGCGUAGUGCU